rnacentral:rRNA from 1 species
GUGCAGUGCGGGUUCUUACCAUGCAGUCGAACGAUGAAGCCCAGCUUGCUGGGUGGAUUAGUGGCGAACGGGUGAGUAACACGUGAGUAACCUGCCCUUGACUCUGGGAUAAGCGCUGGAAACGGCGUCUAAUACCGGAUAUGACAACCGACGGCAUCGUCUGGUUGUGGAAAGAAUUUCGGUCAAGGAUGGACUCGCGGCCUAUCAGCUUGUUGGUGAGGUAAUGGCUCACCAAGGCGACGACGGGUAGCCGGCCUGAGAGGGUGACCGGCCACCACUGGGACUGAGACACGGCCCAGACUCCUACGGGAGGCAGCAGUGGGGAAUAUUGCACAAUGGGCGAAAGCCUGAUGCAGCAACGCCGCGUGAGGGACGACGGCCUUCGGGUUGUAAACCUCUUUUAGCAGGGAAGAAGCGAAAGUGACGGUACCUGCAGAAAAAGCACCGGCUAACUACGUGCCAGCAGCCGCGGUAAUACGUAGGGUGCAAGCGUUGUCCGGAAUUAUUGGGCGUAAAGAGCUCGUAGGCGGUUUGUCGCGUCUGCUGUGAAAUCCCGAGGCUCAACCUCGGGUCUGCAGUGGGUACGGGCAGACUAGAGUGCGGUAGGGGAGAUUGGAAUUCCUGGUGUAGCGGUGGAAUGCGCAGAUAUCAGGAGGAACACCGAUGGCGAAGGCAGAUCUCUGGGCCGUAACUGACGCUGAGGAGCGAAAGGGUGGGGAGCAAACAGGCUUAGAUACCCUGGUAGUCCACCCCGUAAACGUUGGGAACUAGAUGUGGGGACCAUUCCACGGUCUCCGUGUCGCAGCUAACGCAUUAAGUUCCCCGCCUGGGGAGUACGGCCGCAAGGCUAAAACUCAAAGGAAUUGACGGGGGCCCGCACAAGCGGCGGAGCAUGCGGAUUAAUUCGAUGCAACGCGAAGAACCUUACCAAGGCUUGACAUAUACGAGAACGGGCCAGAAAUGGUCAACUCUUUGGACACUCGUAUACAGGUGGUGCAUGGUUGUCGUCAGCUCGUGUCGUGAGAUGUUGGGUUAAGUCCCGCAACGAGCGCAACCCUCGUUCUAUGUUGCCAGCACGUAAUGGUGGGAACUCAUGGGAUACUGCCGGGGUCAACUCGGAGGAAGGUGGGGACGACGUCAAAUCAUCAUGCCCCUUAUGUCUUGGGCUUCACGCAUGCUACAAUGGCCGAUACAAAGGGCUGCAAUACCGCGAGGUGGAGCGAAUCCCAAAAAGUCGGUCCCAGUUCGGAUUGAGGUCUGCAACUCGACCUCAUGAAGUCGGAGUCGCUAGUAAUCGCAGAUCAGCAACGCUGCGGUGAAUACGUUCCCGGGCCUUGUACACACCGCCCGUCAAGUCAUGAAAGUCGGUAACACCCGAAGCCAGUGGCCUAACCCUUGUGGAAGGAGCUGUCUAAGGUGAUCCGAUGCCU